GACGAACGCUGGCGGCGUGCUUAACACAUGCAAGUCGAACGGAAAGGCCCUGCUUUUGUGGGGUGCUCGAGUUGCGAACGGGUGAGUAACACGUGAGUAACCUGCCCUUGACUUUGGGAUAACUUCAGGAAACUGGGUCUAAUACCGGAUAGGAGCUCCUGCUGCAUGGUGGGGGUUGGAAAGUUUCGGCGGUUGGUGAUGUACUCGCGGCUUAUCAGCUUGUUGGUGGGGUAGUGGCUUACCAAGGCUUUGACGGGUAGCCGGCCUGGGAGGGUGACCGGCCACAUUAGGACUGAGAUGCGGCCCAGCCUCCUACGGGAGGGAGCAGUGGGGAAUAUUGCACAAUGGGCGGAAGCCUGAUGCAGCAACGCCGCGCGCGGGAUGACGGCCUUCGGGUUGUAAUCCGCUUUCGCCUGUGACGAAGCGUGAGUGACGGUAAUGGGUAAAGAAGCACCGGCUAACUACGUG
rnacentral:rRNA from 1 species